UGUGGGAGCCGUGGAGGGAACUUUCCCAGUCCCCGAGGCGGAUCCGGUGUUGCAUCCUUGGAGCGAGCUGAGAGCUCGAGUACAGAACCUGCUAAGGCCAUCAAACCUAUUGAUCGGAAGUCAGUCCAUCAGAUUUGCUCUGGGCCGGUGGUACCGAGUCUAAGCACUGCGGUGAAGGAGUUAGUAGAAAACAGUCUGGAUGCUGGUGCCACUAAUAUUGAGAUAGAGUUUCUCCAUGUUGGUCAGGCUGGUCUCGAACUACUGACCUCAGGUGAUCCGCUCGCUUUGGUCUCCCAAAGUGCUGGGAUUACAGGCAUGAACCACCGCGCCUGGCCCCCGUUCUCCUUACUGGAUCUAAAGCUUAAGGACUAUGGAGUGGAUCUCAUUGAAGUUUCAGGCAAUGGAUGUGGGGUAGAAGAAGAAAACUUCGAAGGCUUAACUCUGAAACAUCACACAUCUAAGAUUCAAGAGUUUGCCGACCUACCUCAGGUUGAAACUUUUGGCUUUCGGGGGGAAGCUCUGAGCUCACUUUGUGCACUGAGGUGAUAAAAUAUUUUUAUCCAUUCACUUGACCCCUUAGAAAAACCUCUCUGAAAAUUAAUUGGAAUCAUUAUUAUUUACAGUUUUCUGUCUCAAUAUCUCAGCUUCCAGCUUCUGAAUUCUGUUUUGUCUCACUGCCAAUCUAAGUCCUAGUACUUCUGAAAUGUGAGCAAUAAAUGAAUGAAAUGAA
rnacentral:lncRNA from 1 species